rnacentral:rRNA from 14 species
GAUAGUGAACCAGUACCGUGAGGGAAAGGUGAAAAGAACCCCGACGAGGGGAGUGAAACAGUACCUGAAACCGAACGCCUACAAUCAGUUGGAGGGCCCUUGCGGCCUGACAGCGUACCUUUUGUAUAAUGGGUCAUCGACUUGGUCUAUCUAGCAAGCUUAAGCCGUUAGGUGUAGGCGCAGCGAAAGCGAGUCUGAACAGGGCGUUCAGUUCGUCGGAUUAGACCCGAAACCGAGUGAUCUAGCCAUGAGCAGGCUGAAGGUUGGGUAACACCAACUGAAGGGCCGAACCCGUAUCUGUUGCAAUAGAUUGGGAUGACUUGUGGCUAGGGGUGAAAGGCCAAUCAAACUCGGAAAUAGCUCGUACUCCCCGAAAUGCAUUUAGGUGCAGCGUUGGUUUAGUUUUAUAGAGGUAGAGCUACUGAUUGGAUGCGGGGGCUUCACCGCCUACCAAUUCCUGACAAACUCCGAAUGCUAUAAAAUGAUGACCAGCAGUGAGGGCAUGGGUGCUAAGGUCCAUGUCCGAGAGGGAAAGAACCCAGACCAUCAGCUAAGGUCCCCAAAUGUAUGUUAAGUUGAAUAAACGAGGUUGAACUGCUUAGACAGCUAGGAUGUUGGCUUGGAAGCAGCCAUUCAUUUAAAGAGUGCGUAACAGCUCACUAGUCGAGCGGUUCGGCAUGGAUAAUAAUCGGGCAUAAACAUACUACCGAAGCUAUGGACUUGAAAAAGUGGUAGGGGAGCAUUGUAGUGUCGUCGAAGGUGUACCGUGAGGUAUGCUGGAGAAGCUACAAAAGAAAAUGUAGGCAUAAGUAACGAUAAUGCGGGCGAGAAACCCGCACACCGAAAGACUAAGGUUUCCUCAGCUAUGCUAAUCAGCUGAGGGUUAGUCGGGACCUAACGCGAACCCGAAAGGGGUAGUGGAUGGACAACGGGUUAAUAUUCCCGUACCUGCUCACGUUAAAAGUGACGGAUCCCCGUGGUUGCUGCGUACUGACGGAAUAGUACGUUGAAGCGCAAGCGAUAGUACACUGAGGCUACGGCCAAGGUGAUAAUGCAGCGAAGGGGGUUCCAAGAAAAGCGAGUGAAGCAGCCCGUACCGUAAACCGACACAGGUAGUUGGGAUGAGAAUUCUAAGGUGCUCGAGAGAUUCAUGGCUAAGGAACUAGGCAAAAUAGACGCGUAACUUCGGGAGAAGCGUCGCCCCACUCCGGUGGGGCCGCAGUGAAAAGGUCCAGGCGACUGUUUAUCAAAAACACAGGGCUAUGCUAAAUUGAAAGAUGAC